rnacentral:rRNA from 1 species
GACGAACGCUGGCGGCGCGCUUAACACAUGCAAGUCGAACGGAAAGGCCUGCUUUCCCUUGUGGAUUGCGGGUACUCGAGUGGCGAACGGGUGAGUAGCACGUGAGUGAUCUGCCCCCAACGUGGGUAUAAGCCUGGGAAACUGGGUCUAAUUCCCGAUAGGACUGCAGGGUGGUGCCUGUGGUGGAAAACGAUUUUCUAGUGGUUGGGGAUGAGCUCGCGGCCUAUCAGCUUGUUGGUGGGGUAAUGGCCUACCAAGGCGGCGACGGGUAGCCGGCCUGGGGGAGUGGGCGGCAGCGGGGGAACGGCGAUACGGCCCAGGAGACUACGGGAGGAAGCAGUGGGGAGGAAUGCGUGAGGAGCGGAAGACUGAGGCAGCGAGGCUGAGUGGGGAAUGACGGGCUUCGGGUUGUAGACUUCUUGCGACAGCGAGGAAGCGACCUGGUUGGAAGGGUGGUGACGGUAAUGGGAGAAGAAGCACCGGCUAACUACGUG